rfam:Stegodyphus mimosarum contig112910, whole genome shotgun sequence.
ACCUUCGUGGUGUAAUGGUUAGCACACUGAGCCGGUAUUUCAGAGGUCCGUGGUUCGAUUCCCGGCGAAGGCU